rnacentral:rRNA from 1 species
GAUGAACGCUGGCGGCGUGCUUAACACAUGCAAGUCGAACGGAAAGGCCAGUGCUUGCACUGGUACUCGAGUGGCGAACGGGUGAGUAACACGUGGGUGAUCUGCCCUGCACUUCGGGAUAAGCUUGGGAAACUGGGUCUAAUACCGGAUAGGACAAUGGUUUGGAUGCCGUUGUGGAAAGUUUUUUCGGUGUGGGAUGAGCUCGCGGCCUAUCAGCUUGUUGGUGGGGUAAUGGCCUACCAAGGCGUCGACGGGUAGCCGGCCUGAGAGGGUGUACGGCCACAUUGGGACUGAGAUACGGCCCAGACUCCUACGGGAGGCAGCAGUGGGGAAUAUUGCACAAUGGGCGCAAGCCUGAUGCAGCGACGCCGCGUGGGGGAUGACGGCCUUCGGGUUGUAAACUCCUUUCGCUAGGGACGAAGCGUAUUUGUGACGGUACCUGGAGAAGAAGCACCGGCUAACUACGUG